CGGAAUUUAACUCAGUCAGGUUAGAGUACCCGGCUUAUAUCCGGUUAGUCGUGGGUUCGAAUCUUACAAUUCCGA
rnacentral:tRNA from 1 species